AUGGAUUUAGAAAAGGCAAAAUUGGAUUUGGAGUUUCUCAAGCUCAACCUGAUGAAAGAAGAGGAUUUAGGAAUAGAACAGCGGACUGACUCCUCUUUGGAUGAACUCUUCCAGAGUGCUGUUCUUCCGGUAGAGGAGUCUGGUCCCACAGUGAAGCCCUCAGUGUCUCUGCUGCCGCCCUCUUCUCUGCAGAUCUCUGGAGACUCAGCCGCACUGCUCUGCCUGCUCAGCUCUUACUCUCCACAGGGGGCGCUGGUGAGCUGGACACUGGACGGGUCAGAGGUCACCGAGGGGGUUCUGACCAGCGCAGAGAGCCAGCAGGACGGCCGCUACAGCCGCAGUAGCGUCCUGACCCUCAGCAAAGCACGCUGGGAAGAGGGAGAGCUGUACGUCUGCAGAGUAACACAUGAUGGAGCUCCUCAUGAGGUCUCGUUCCACAAGAGCUCUGAGUGCUGAUGUUUCUCUCCUGAAGAUGAGCCGUAUCUGAGUGUCCUGUGUCAGGCAGGAUUCACAUGAGUCUAGUGCUGCAGCUGUAGUGCUUUACAACUCCAUACUGAACGAGUGUGUGUGUGU